UACAGAGGGGGCGAGCGUUGUUCGGAAUUACUGGGCGUAAAGGGCGCGUAGGCGGCCCGCUAAGUCGAACGUGAAAUCCCCAGGCUCAACCUGGGAACUGCGUCCGAUACUGGCAGGCUUGAAUCCGGGAGAGGGAUGUGGAAUUCCAGGUGUAGCGGUGAAAUGCGCAGAUAUCGGGAGGAACACCGGUGGCGAAGGCGGUUCUCUGGGCCUGUACUGACGCUGAGGAGCGAAAGCGUGGGGAGCGAACAGG
rnacentral:rRNA from 1 species